rnacentral:tRNA from 1 species
UGCGCCCGUAGCUCAAAGGGAUAGAGCAUCGGCCUCCGAAGCCGAAGGUUGGAGGUUCAAUUCCUCUCGGGCGCACCAA